rnacentral:lncRNA from 1 species
CCAGUGCUUUCAACCAGUCCUCGAACCUUUUUAAGAAAAUAAUUUAUACUGGAGAGAAAUUCUACAAAUGUGAAGAAUAUGGCAAAGCCUUUAACCAGUCUUCAACUCUUACUAGGCAUUAAAAAUUCAUACUGUACAGAAACCCUACGAGGGUGAAAAACAUGGCAAAGCCUUUAACAAGCCCUCAAUUCUUAACAGACAUAACAUAA